rnacentral:misc_RNA from 1 species
CCGCCUGUGGGGCUGAGUUCUAAGCUGUUCCACAGCUCCAGAUCUAAAUGUAUCACAAGCGGCCAUCAUGACACUAACUUUAUGCUGCAGAAGCCAAUAGGCUACCUUGGCAAGAUUUGUAGAUUUUCCAACUCCAUUGACCCCAACAAACACUACCACGUAAGGUUUCUUUUGUUCUUUUGCAGCAUGCACAUCCCUCAGAAUGUCAAUGGAGCGUCUUGGAGUCAGUAUACGGACAAGGGCUUCUUCCAUUGCAGCCUGGACCGUUGAAGAAAUCCUUGUGAAAGAAGCUAGCUUUUUCCCCUCAAGACUAGCUGCUACUGAUUCACAAAGUUUUUCAGCUAUCUCCUCAGCCACAUUCUUUGUCAUAAGUCUGUCCUUGAGAGCCUUCAGAGCUGGUUCCAGGUCUGUUUUGUCCAAACUUGCCUUGCCUGAGAUACUCUGGAACAUAGAUGAGAAACCUACUGAGGCAAAAUUAGACUUCACAGAUCCUGUGGGUGAGAAUGGGGACAACAACAUCGAAGUUUUGGCAGCAGAUCAGGGCCAAAGUAUGAUGGACAAAGAAGAGGUCUUUAGUAGUGACAG